CCUCGUUGCAGUCACAUCUGGCUUACUCUCAGGGUCCCAUUAGAUUCCUGUGGUUUUCUGUGCCAAAAAUAAUAUGCUCUGUAGUUAAUGGAAACAGGAUAUUUGCAGUUUGAUUAAAAAGAAUCAUCUUAUUUUCUUUCUUUCUUUUCUUUUUUUUUUUUUUUUUGAGGCGGAGUUUCGCUCUUGUUACCCAGGCUGGAGUGCAAUGGCGCGAUCUCGGCUCACCGCAACCUCAACCUCCUGGGUUCAAGCAAUUCUCCUGCCUCAGCUUCCCGAGUAGCUGGGAUUACAGGCACGCGCCACCGGGCCCAGCUAAUUUUUGUAUUUUUAGUAGAGACGGGGUUUCACCAUUUUGACCAGGAUGGUCUCGAUCUCUUGAGCUCGUGAUCCACCCGCCUCGGCCUCCCUAAGUGCUGGGAUUACAGGCGUGAGCCACCGCGCCCGGCCUGAAUCAUCUUAUUUUCUUUCAGAUCUUUGUCAGGCUUAAGUUCCAUCUCUGAGCUGCCAUGUCUCUUUAAAAUUUUAUGACUGAGGCCGGGCGCAGUCAUAAAAGAAAAUUUUUUUAUGACUGAAAGAUCAAUUGUUCUUUUGAUCUGUUUCUUUCUUUUUCGUUAUUACAAUGAUUCCAGCACUGAUGCUGGAUUGUUUACCAAUGAUGAGGGAAGACAAGGUGAUGAUGAACAGAGUGACUGGUUCUACAAAAAGGAGUCAGGUGGAGCAUGUGGUAUCACUGGAGUUGUGCCCUGGUGGGAAAAGGAAGAUCCUACUGAGCUAGACAAAAAUUUACCAGAUCCUGUCUUUGAAAGUAUCUUAACUGGUUCUUUUCCCUUAUGUCGCAUCCAAGCAGAAGAGGUUUCCAAGCUAGACUCAGUUGCCUUCAUGGAAUGUCUUCAAAGAAUAUUAAAAAAUCUGGAGGGACUCCAACUUUAAUGGCUACAAACUGGACCAGUGAGAUUCCCCUAUAAACCAAAUCUUCUAAUGCUAAUAAAUUAGUUACAUUUUGAACAUCCGGGGAAUGACAUUCGAGGGAACCUGGCUCCUGUCCUCUUCCCUGGAGGAAUAAUCACUGAAGUAAGAGCCUCUUUGAUGAAAAGAUGGGACUGUUUUUGCUGGAGGACUGGUAUUCUUCCUUUUAGUCAGAAGUGAACCUGACUGGGGAGGCCUUCUAGGCAUUUAGGUUGGCCCAGGGUGGAUAGAAACUACUGUACAUUUUAUAUAUUUUUCUCUUUUAUGAUUUUUUUUUUACAUUGAGUCUAUUUAUGUAUACUUGCUUUGCCAAAAUGCUCACAAAGCUAGAAAUUUAAAACUUCCCAAUCUAACAAGUAUUCCUUAAUGUUUAUAGUGUGACUGAUUAAGAAUUAAUUUUUCAUAUCUGACUGUUGUAAAUAAAAAUCGUGAUGCAUUGACAUUUAUGGUUCAUUUUUAGAGAAGUCUUAUAUAACCAGCGUUAUUUAAAAUAUUUGCAUUUUACUCAGGGUAUUUUAACAAGGGCUAUGAUGAGUAGUAGGUAAGGUUGAUAAUCUUUGCUGGAGUUUGUAUUUUGUUCAGCUUACUUUCUACUUGGGUAAUCUGCUCUGUAUUGCAAACUCAUUGUAUUUUAUAGUGUAGUUUUCAUUGUGCUGCAAAAAUCAUCCUCUUUCUAAAUUAGCCACAGUGAUAACUAGUCUGCACUAGUAGAAUCAUUUACCUUUUAAACUAUCUGCUUUGUCUGAUACCUGAAACACAUCAAAAUUAUUAUUUUGGUUUACAGCUUAAUGAAACAUGUGAAAGCUGGUAUUUUAAACAAAUACUGUGUGAUUCUGAAUCACAUCAUCAUGUUUAAAAGGGAGAGCUGCUUGUACAUCUUUAGAAUGGCAGACCAUAUGUGUCACUGUGAGUGUCAGAAAUACUUGCAUGAGCUCAUUUUCACCAAGUGGGGGGGAAAUGUAAUGUUUCUAUUGAUGGUGUAAUUUAGACACUAUAAUAAGUUCAGACCAUUUGAGUUCUUCAAAAUGGUUAUAUUAAAAUGAUAUUUCUAUUAAGCUUCAAUAAUGAAAAACAACGUGAUUUAAUAUGUGUAUUUUUAUAUUAUUGUAUGGAUUAAUUGUUAAUUCAGCAUUUAACUUAAAUAUGAUUGGAAAAGAAACUUUAAGUUGCCAUUGCCUUUACCUAAAGUUUUUGAAGUCUGGACUAUUUCAGCAAAUGCAUGAAGCAGGAAUGUGUGACAUCUCCUGUUAGACUGCUUGUCUAAUAUGGAGAGAUUAAGAAUGAUAAAAUGCAACUUUGAGUCUCUUUACCUUUGCAUAUUUAAAGGUACAAUGGUGUGGUGUUGGUAAUUGUAAGUAAGCUUUUCUGUGCUAUGUCUUUGGAGUGAAAAUUCAUGUUUUUUUCUGAAUUACAUAAAUGCUUUUGUUUUAUUUUGUA